rnacentral:rRNA from 1 species
AUACACAGGGUGCAAGCGUUAAUCGGAAUUACUGGGCGUAAAGGGUGCGUCGGCGGUUUGCAAGAUAGGUGUCAAAUCCCAGGGCUUAACCUUGCCACUGCCCUUUUAACUGCCAUGCUAGAGUACGUCAGAGGGGGGUACAAUUCCAAGUGUAGCAGUGUAGUGCGUAAAGCUGUGCAGGAAUACCAAUGGCGAAGGCAGCCCCCCUGGGAUGAUCCUGCCCCUGAGGCACGAAAGCCUCGGGAGCAAACACGAUUAGAUACCCUGGCGUCCACGCACUAUACUAUGUCAACCAGCAGUUGGGGCCGAUAAGCUUUAG